rnacentral:sRNA from 1 species
AUGUACCCCUUACACUCCGGUUCCUCCGCGCCGGCCGCACCCACCUGACAACAAUUGCUCGCUACAUUUUAUUAGCU